AGUGAACGCUGGCGGUAGGCCUAACACAUGCAAGUCGAACGGCAGCACAGUAAGAGCUUGCUCUUACGGGUGGCGAGUGGCGGACGGGUGAGGAAUACAUCGGAAUCUACUUUUUCGUGGGGGAUAACGUAGGGAAACUUACGCUAAUACCGCAUACGACCUACGGGUGAAAGCAGGGGAUCUUCGGACCUUGCGCGAUUGAAUGAGCCGAUGUCGGAUUAGCUAGUUGGCGGGGUAAAGGCCCACCAAGGCGACGAUCCGUAGCUGGUCUGAGAGAAUGAUCGACGCCACGAGAACAGAGACAAGGUCCAGACUCCUACGGGAGGCAGCAGUGGGAAAUAUUGGACAAUGGGCGCAAGCCUGAUCCAGCCAUACCGCGUGGGUGAAGAAAGCCUUCGGGUUGUAAAGCCCUUUUGUUGGGAAAGAAAAGCAGCAGGUUAAUACCUCGCUGUUCUGACGGUACCCAAAGAAUAAGCACCGGCUAACUUCGUG
rnacentral:rRNA from 1 species